ensembl:lncRNA
GGGGGGGUUAAAAACAAACAAACAUUUCUUUGUUAAUCUAAUUCUUUUUGUUCUUUUUUUUUUUUUUUUUCUUCGUCAAUUAUUAGUUUGCCCAAUCUCUCAUUGACGGUAAAACACAAGUGGAGGAGUACAACACUGAAAUCACAAAGCUCAGGUCCCGACUUUGCCGCUACUUAUUUUCCUCAAUAGAUCGAACUAGGAAGUGCAGUCAGUGCUGGUGUGUGAUUGCAGCCAAAGACUGGGUACACUAUGACAUGUCCUUAGCCAUAUAGAUUGUUUAUUUAAUGGACUUUGUUCAUUUGUUUUUUGUUUGUUUAUUUCUUCUUCUUCUUUUUUUUUUUUUAAUUCACAGGUGCAGUGCCAGAAAUGUGGUGCAUACAAACACAUGCGUUGUUCAAAGUCUGUUUGUGGCAUCUGUAUCUUCUGUGAGAGUAAGUCACAAUAUAACUAAACAAUGUCCAAAAAUGUUUAAAGUGAAAUUUUUUUUCGUAAUUUUGCCUUUGCACACCAGGACUGUGUAAUUAAAGUGGACGUUUCAAGAUCCAGUUUUUACACAAAACUAUUUUAGACAUAACUGUGUCGUAUUGUGGGGAUUUCUCUUCACAAUAAAAUUGAUAUAGUGCUGUUUAUAUCAUUCUUCUUUAUGUAACAGCACAGUGCAGCACAGCAGAGGGAAAGGAGUUGUGCAGCAUAGUGGGUGGCUAUAUAGGAGGAGCAAUAGAAGUAGCCAGUGAAGAAUGUCAUCAGGGAAAGCAUCAGGCAGCGAAUGACAAAGGAAAAGUUCCUAAGGGAGAGAACAUCUGCAGCAAAUCGACAAGUAACAGUGAGAUAGGAAGACUGACAGUCAGAGAUGAAGGUACACAGACUGAAGACAACGAAAAAGAAGCAGAAGUAUACGGCACAAGUCUGAGUACAGAUAAUGCUGCUGCUGAUGAUGUUGACAGGAUCGAUGCAGAUGCAGAAUUUCAAACUGAUUCAGAAGGAACUAGUACAGUUUACAGAGUGCAUGGUCGCUUAUCUGUACCAAGCUCAAAAAAGAAAACCUACACAAUAACAGAAGACGAGAUCAAGCACAGAAUCAACGCAGAGAACAUGUCAGUUCAUGUUUUCAGAGGUUUGAUUGGGGGCCGUAAAGCCAAACUGCCCGCAAUGAUUCUUGACAGGCCUAAGAAGGCCAAAACUAAAGUAACAGUGUUUAGUGUUCUGAGUGAAGAGGAGGCUGGGGAGCUAGCCCUCGGGUUUGCCGGAAGAUUGGCCUGCGAUGUCACAACAGACAUGGUCUGUAAAGGCAUCGACCAUUCAAGUGCUGAUAUGACAAAACAGACUCUUCUCAAAAUCCAACACAAUCUUAAACAUGAGCUGACUGAUUCCUCAACCUUCAGUUUGCUGACACACACCUUUGGCCCCGCUGCACUGGAUUCUGUCAUUUCAUUCCUGUGUGAAAAACUUGAUCUUGUCUCUUAAAUAAUGAAACCUUUUGUGACUUUUGUUUGUUCUGUAAAUCAGAAUCUUGAAAAUUGUUCAUUGUUGUUCUAAGUUUGUGUUAACUAUUUGGCAAAAAUGAUUGGUUCCUAAUCCAAACAGCAUAAUGACUGUUCUAACACAUAUCUUAAAAAUGCUACAAAGAAAGAAAAUUAUCACAUAUGUUUCAAUAUGAAUGUAAUUGUGUCACACUCGGUUUGUAGUAGCUUUCCUGUUUUAUUUUGAGUUUUGGUAUGUUUACACUGUUAUUUUUAUUUCCCGUGUGUUCGUCUUCCCUUAUUAGUUUUACUGUAUUUAAUUAGUCUGAUUUAAUAACUUAUAAUUAUUUACUUUCCAGUGUGUAUAUAUGCUCCUCGUUUGGAUUA